rnacentral:lncRNA from 1 species
CUGGCUGCUGUGUCGCUCGAGGCGCUGUUUGAGGCAGAUCAGAUCGUAGUUCGUCUGAUCUGAAUCUCCGGCAGCGGUCGGUUGGUCGCCUCCUCUCUGUUUCUUCUCCCAAGCUCCAGGAUCAGCUCGUGUACUCCUCCCCCUCGUCAGCGGCAAGCCGGUCGCCAGCUCCUUGGCUCCUUCCCGACCGGUAAUGCGACGUCGUGCGAACCUACAAAUCUUCAACAUGGUGAUUCAUUUUCCUGGUAAAUACUCCCUAUUUUACUUUGAAGUAAAUUUAUUCAUCCUUAUAGUUCUAUUUUCCUUUACUUGUUCAUGUCAAAUCUGUUCAUGUGUGAACGAUGCACUUUAACUUCGAUUUGAAGGUGUGUUCCUACAGUCCUUGUUGUUUGGUACUCUAAUUUGCAACCAAACUGGGAGGUUGAGGGUGAUUGGAUAAUCUUAGGGUCUUGAAGUUUAGGACAAUUCACUAAAAAGCUUAGUAUCUGCAGUACCGCAUACAGGGUCAAUAGCUUGACAAGCUGUAAAGAAAGUAAUUCAUUUUACUAGGCAAUUUUUUUUAAAUAGACCCAUUUGUGAGCAUAUCAAAAUUUGGAUUCAUGUUGCUUCGGAUUUUUUCACUAAUAGCUUGUUCUUAUCUUUAAGAUGAAAACUAUGAAGCUCUCUUCAAAUCUUGGACAUGUAGAUCAGGUAGGUACUACUUUGUUUUAUGCAUAUAUAGAAGCUGCCUCAGACUACGAGUAAAACAACAUCACUAGCAAUGUUGCAAAGGGAGGUACCAUGAAACAACCAUGAAGCUUUUUACUCGUUCCAAGCUCCUUUAGAUGUGCAACCACAGCAACAUGAUCGAUGGCAUUAAGUAGGCCAACGAGCAAAAAUAGUAUUCCAAGUUGCAACAAUAGCCGCGACAAAUGAACUAGCUAUCAAAGAUUAAAGCCGAUGAUAUAUAAUUGCAAUCUGAGGCACCUUGAGAGCAGUGCCAAUUAAAAAUGUCGGCAUUAUCACACCAGGACCAACACUAUCAGGACAGAACAUUGGUGUAAGGAAGUAAAGAAUAUGCUGAUGUACCUAACAUUCUGUUAAUCCCUUGUGUGAUGUUUUUUGCAAAAAAAAAAUGUUUGCAGCAGUGGAAUCGGUCAAUAGUUUGCAGAGAUUAAUUCUCCAAUGUUUCUCAUUGAUGAUUCCAGUACACCUAAAAAGAAACAACCGUUCUCUCAAGAGGUACACACACUUUCGGAUAUUAUGCAAUAUAAUUUCUUACAAUUUCCAUGUUAAAGUCCAUGAUUCAGUCAUGUUUGAUAGGAAGUAUACACCCUUAUCAUGUGUCAUGUACUAUUGCAAGCCAUAGGUGCCGAACAAGUAGGAGAUAAAGUAAACAACCGAGAGAUUUCCAUGUCCAUGGUUAAAACUAUAAGGUCCCUAUUGUGUUCUAUCGAUGGUCACAACCUGUAAUACUCGCUAGAUAGGCAUUACAUUUCGUGAAUACCAAAUAGUAAUUGUAUUUAGGUUGGUUGAAAAUAUAUGUUUUUGGUUGUGAUAGAAAAUGAGAUCUCAUAAGUGCAUAGCAUGUAUUUUUACUAAAUAAGUUUUACUGCUAACCAUUCUGGCCCAGCAAAGAGAAAAGAUUGGUUAUGGGGAGAGAGUUGCAGUGGCCGUGGCUGCAGGGUCGGGUGGUGCUGUGAUGUGCGCCUCCUCUAGCAUCUUCAAGUUCUGCCUCGAGCCCUCGACCUUGUACGCAUGGACUGGAGGGUGGUUGCGACCGCACGCCAAACUGAUUGUCUCCGCUCCUUCUGUGACGAGAUGCCCCUCAGGCCGCCAGGAGGUGGCCGUCGAGCUUGACGUGGCUGCCAGCUGGUCGGCCGGGUCGAUUCCUUGAUCAGCUAUGCACAGCAGCCGCGGGUUGGCUAUGUCAAUGCCUUGAUCAACAAUGCAUGACUUCGAAGUACUCAUUUUGCAUGCUCUCGUUCUAUACUCAUUUACAGUCUUGGGUUUCUUGAAUUAACUUGAUCGUCGUUCUUGCAUGCAUCAGCUAGCAGCUAUGCUUCUGGUUAAAAAACACCCUGUACACUCCUCUACUUCGGUUUGUGAGCUUAUACUUCGUACAAAGUGUCGAAUCUAUGACACUUACAUGGACCUGCGCUAACUGAAUCAUAUUUGUUAUGUUCGAUCUCCCAGCACAAGAAGCUUGAUGAGCAAAAAGCACUAGAACUGGAACCUGGAGGCAAGCUAGCAAAGUUGGUGCAGUUUUGAAAUGGCAAUGCUUCUUGAGCAGUGAUUAGUUUAGUCAUUCAUACGUAGUCUUACCCAUGAUGUACCUAAAAUUAUCCUCUCAAGCAAUGUAAUAUGUAUGUGUGUCUCAUUUGUUGUGUCUUGUCUGGCGUCGUGCAGUUCGAAAUGUAUGUUUGCUUGAAGUGGAUGUAUUAAUUCCCAUAUACUCAAAUAUUUGUGGUGAGGUUCACAUACUCCUUAGCGACUAACAUGUUUGGAUUUCUUGCAUGAUUUGUGAUGUAGCAGAAGCUGCUAGCGAAAUCAAAUAUACUACAGAUUUCAUGCAAUAGAUUUUAUAAAACUAAGGGAGGAGGCAUCAAUGAAGUGAA